ensembl:lncRNA
CAAAAACAAGAGAGUGGGAGAGAAAGACAUGUGGACUUUAAAGGUGGAGCUCCUCAAUACAAAAUCAGAUUGAUUAGAGCAAAAAGUUAGUUAACUCUAAGUAAACAGGAUCAAGAGAAAAGUCAUGCUUGUACGAUGAAGCCUUGACUGAACAGACAGCCUCCGUUUGUCUGCUCUCAGUUUACAAUAUAACUGUGUUAUAGUUGUAAAGGGAGGAGACAUAAGUAGGAGGAGUACUGGGAGAAAAACACGUUGUUUGUUUCAUUUCAGAGCCAUACAUCACUGGGUCAAGGACUUUAUUUUACUCUAUUUUAAACUUUAUUUUAGGGCUGCACAGUUUGACUGAUCGCAACUAUGGAUAUAAACAUGCUGCUCCUUUUUCUACUGCUGCUGCUCUUUGGUUCUCAGGCUAACCAUUUCUUUGGGACAGUGAUGACUUUUACCCCCAAAGACAAGACACAUAAUGGCUCCCUCACGGUGGUCUUUCACUACAAGUUGAGCUUUCGCUCAUGCACCGAUCAAGACACGUGGAGCUGUGUCAGCGGUGACUGUGGUAGUGAGAGUGUGGAGCUGAGCAUUGUGGAUGAGGAGGACAAAGAGUGGUGUCAGAGGGAAGGAGUCAUGACUCGGGAGGUUUCCAGCAAUGCUGUGUUUCAGCUACGAUUAGAUGGCGGUGACUGGAUUCAAAACAAAAACAAGGUGAAGAAAUGGAGAGCUCUGACUAACGUGGACCUGAGGACUCGUCUCGACACAUAUCAGCCAAACAAAUCACCUCAGACCACCAUCCUGCCAGCCCUGCGAGUCCCUUCAAACUGUCAAAGAGUCUUCAGCUUGUCGGCCUUUGACCCUGAUGGAGACAAGGUUAAAUGCAGAUUUGGAGACAUAGACGCAGAUGAGUGUAAUCCUUGCACACCACCGUCUGUUCUGACCAUCUCACAAGCUUGCACAUUGUCAUUUAAUCCUGUCAGCAGGCAAGAUGAAGGUUCAUACGCAGUACAGCUGGAAAUGGAGGACUUCCCAAAAAAGACUGUCAUCAUCAGUGAUUAUGGUGUGCAGACAAACAUCACUCCCAGCGAGGCUCUCAGCAAAAUACCAAUCAGAUUUGCUCUGAUGGUGGACCCUCCUGCACCAUCCUGCUCAGAGGGAGUUUACCUGCCCAGGUUUCUACCUCCAACCCCAGCCAAUGGGGCUCGCAUGUAUACUAAUGACACAGUGAACAUUACCAUUGUGGCAGAGGCCACCAAUGCCACGGUUUUAAAGCUUUUGUUCAGUGGACCGCACAGUGUUGUAAAACACACUGAAUCACAUGGAGAAUUUAUCCUGACUUGGACGCCAUCUGAGAAUCAAGAUGGAGAAGAUCAUCCCAUCUGCUUCUUAGUCCAGGCAGAGAAAGAUACAGCCAAAUAUCAGUCUGAGCUACGGUGUGUGAUUGUGAGCUAUCGCACAGAACCAGUCAUCACAACAUCUAUGCCAACAACCGUUCUGCCUUCAACUACUCCAGCGAGCACAACUACUGUAACCGAAACAGAAACACUAAGCAUAACAACUGUGGUGGCAGAUGAAUCCAAAGCAUCAGGUGAUGACAGCAGUCGUGCUGGCAAAAUUGCUGGCGCUGUGUGUGGGGCUGUAGGUGUUGCAGCAAUCGUUGGCAUUGUGGUGUGGGUGGUGAGGGGAAGUCCACACGCGUUCUAUAAAGUAGUCUAAUGGAAGAAGAAAGAGAUUAAGGAAAAACAAAACUGGAUAUAAAAUCUAGAGAACUUGGGAAAAGGAUAUCACAAACGUUGUUACAGCACAUUUCUACAGAUGUAUAUACUUUAUAAUAUAGAUGCAUAUCUUUUACUGAUGAAGAAUCACACCAUCAUGUCACUCUCCAGUGUGCUGAUAUUAGUCUUUGGCUCUAUCUGGUGGUGGCAUGAUGGCAUGACAUAAAUGUACAGAGUUGUAAAUAAAAGCUACAGACAGCAGCCUUUAGAUGUGUGUAUUUCAUCAUUUAACAUCUUACAAACUUAAAUGUAAACAUACAAAUGAGGAAGGUUUAAUAUCUACAGAGAAAAUGGUUGGAAGUAAGGCACUGAGGUUUGAAGGCUGAAAAGAAAAAAGAAAAGUUCUUAUAUGGC